UACGAGGGGUCCUAGCGUUGUUCGGAAUCAUUGGGCGUAAAGAGCUCGUAGGUGGCUUAGUAAGUCGGGUGUGAAAGCCCAGGGCUCAACCCUGGAAGUGCACUCGAAACUGCAUAGCUUGAGUACGGUAGAGGUGAGUGGAAUUCCUGGUGUAGUGGUGAAAUACGUAGAUAUCAGGAGGAACAUCGGUGGCGAAGGCGGCUCACUGGACCAGUACUGACACUGAGGAGCGAAAGCAUGGGGAUCAAACAGG
rnacentral:rRNA from 1 species